UAUGUGAUCGUCUCUCGCAUAUCAAUAAGCGGAGGAAAAGAAACUAACAAGGAUUCCCCUAGUAACGGCGAGUGAAGCGGGAAGAGCUCAAACUUGAAAUCUUAAAGGGUUUCCCUUUACGAAUUGUAGUUUAAAGAAGUGUUUUCUGUUGAGGUUUUGGUAAAAGUUCUUCGGAAUAGGACAUCAUAGAGGGUGAGAAUCCCGUAUUUGACCUUUACUUUCAACUUUGUGAUACACUUUCAAAGAGUCGGAUUGUUUGGGAAUGCAGUCCAAAAUGGGUGGUAAAUUUCAUCUAAAGCUAAAUAUUGGCGAGAGACCGAUAGCGAACAAGUACCGUGAGGGAAAGAUGAAAAGAACUUUGAAAAGAGAGUUAAACAGUACGUGAAAUUGUCAAAAGGGAAGCGUUUGACACCAGUGUUGUUUUUCUGAAAAUCAAUUAAAGAACUGUUUAUGCUAAGUUGUUUAGACUUUAUCAGCUAUCUGCUUAGUUUUGAGCUUUUCUUUAAUGCACUUUUCAGUUAACAAGUCAACAUCAAUUUCUUUUGCUGUAAAAAAGCUUGAGGAAGGUGGCUUGAGAUUCGUCUUAAGUGUUUAUAGCCUCUUGCCUAUGCAGUCGGAGAGAUUGAGGUCUGCAGCGUAGAUCCUUCGGGGCUAAAUGCAUUUGUGCUAAGUUAUAGCAUUUUAUAGACAACUUGUUGACUAUGAUUUGUCUUGUAGCUUACUCGCUUAUGUUAUUUUACCUACGCUUAGGAUGUUGAGUCGUAGAGCACGCAG
rnacentral:rRNA from 1 species